rnacentral:rRNA from 1 species
UACAGAGGGUGCGAGCGUUAAUCGGAAUUACUGGGCGUAAAGCGCGCGUAGGCGGCUUUGCAAGUCGGGGUGUGAAAUCCCCAGGCUUAACCUGGGAACUGCAUUCGAGACUGCAUUGCUAGAGUAUGGGAGAGGGAAGUGGAAUUUCCGGUGUAGCGGUGAAAUGCGUAGAUAUCGGAAGGAACAUCAGUGGCGAAAGCGACUUCCUGGACCAAUACUGACGUCAUGUGCGAAAGCGUGGGGAGCAAACAGG